rnacentral:rRNA from 1 species
UACGUAGGGUGCGAGCGUUGUCCGGAAUUAUUGGGCGUAAAGGGCUCGUAGGCGGUUUGUCGCGUCGGGAGUGAAAACGCCGGGCUUAACUCGGUGCUUGCUUUCGAUACGGGCAGACUAGAGGUAUGCAGGGGAGAACGGAAUUCCUGGUGUAGCGGUGAAAUGCGCAGAUAUCAGGAGGAACACCGGUGGCGAAGGCGGUUCUCUGGGCAUUACCUGACGCUGAGGAGCGAAAGUGUGGGGAGCGAACAGG